rnacentral:rRNA from 1 species
UACGUAGGGCGCGAGCGUUGUCCGGAAUUACUGGGCGUAAAGAGCUCGUAGGUGGUUUGUCGCGUUGUUCGUGAAAACUCACAGCUUAACUGUGGGCGUGCGGGCGAUACGGGCAGACUUGAGUACUGCAGGGGAGACUGGAAUUCCUGGUGUAGCGGUGGAAUGCGCAGAUAUCAGGAGGAACACCGGUGGCGAAGGCGGGUCUCUGGGCAGUAACUGACGCUGAGGAGCGAAAGCGUGGGGAGCGAACAGG